GGUGGCUCAGUGGUAGAGCGCUUGCCUAGCAUGCAUGAGGCCCUGGGUUCCAUUCCUCAGCACCA
rfam:Dipodomys ordii contig_27027, whole genome shotgun sequence.